GAUGAACGCUAGCGGCGGGCUUAAUACAUGCAAGUCGAGGGGCAGCACGAUGUAGCAAUACAUUGGUGGCGACCGGCGGACGGGUGCGUAACACGUAUGCAACUUGCCCUAUACUGGGGGAUAGCCCGAAGAAAUUCGGAUUAAUACCCCAUAACAUCAGGAUCAGCAUUGGUCUUGGUUCAAAACUCCGGUGGUAUAGGAUGGGCAUGCGGUCGAUUAGCUUGUUGGUGAGGUAACGGCUCACCAAGGCGACGAUCGAUAGGGGGCCUGAGAGGGUGAUCCCCCACACUGGUACUGAGACACGGACCAGACUCCUACGGGAGGCAGCAGUAAGGAAUAUUGGUCAAUGGGCGAAAGCCUGAACCAGCCACGCCGCGUGAAGGAAGACGGCCCUAUGGGUUGUAAACUUCUUUUCUACGGGAAUAAACCUCAGGACGUGUCCUGAGCUGAAGGUAUCGUAGGAAUAAGGAUCGGCUAACUCCGUGCCAGCCGCCGCGGUAAGAC
rnacentral:rRNA from 1 species